rnacentral:rRNA from 1 species
CAGCCGCCGCGGUAGUACGAAGGGGGCUAGCGUUGCUCGGAAUGACUGGGCGUAAAGGGCGCGUAGGCGGUUUGUACAGUUGGAUGUGAAAUUCCUGGGCUUAACCUGGGGGCUGCAUUCAAUACGUGCAGGCUUGAGUGUGGAAGAGGGUCGUGGAAUUCCCAGUGUAGAGGUGAAAUUCGUAGAUAUUGGGAAGAACACCGGUGGCGAAGGCGGCGACCUGGUCCGUUACUGACGCUGAGGCGCGAAAGCGUGGGGAGCAAACAGGAUUAGAUACCCCCGUAGUCCCUGUCUCUUAUAA